GCCUCCUUAGCUCAGUGGUAGAGCGCUGGUCUCGUAAACCAGAGAUCGGGAGUUCAAUCCUCCCAGGAGGCA
rnacentral:tRNA from 1 species